GUGUUUUUUAGGUGAGAAGAGGUUUUGACAGGAAACCUUUUUUAAUGUGUUACGUAUGUGAAAGAAAGUGAAGCCACGGUUAGUUUUGGUCACAUCAUUAUUAUGAGUAUUAUAACUUCGUUGUCCCCUCAUCCUCGUUCCCCGGAGGAGACUCCACGGUGGCGCUGUUGAAGGUGGGGAGGUGGUGCACGUCAGCCUCUUGUGGAGGAACACCAGUAAACCAUGAGGAUGCACUCACACUCUGGACCAACAGAACCCGGAUCACAGAACCCGGAUUACAGAACCCGGAUCACAGCUCUGGUCUCCAGGUGUAUCACCCAAACAAAAACGUGAAGGAUCAACAGAUAAUCCCACUGGGAGACCCGCUGCCUCACAGACCAGUCAGGCAAUCAGAGUCCAGGAGGACCAGGACUGGUGGGACCAGAUCUGGACCGCAUUCAUAAAUACAUAAACGUCAAGGGAUGUGAAGACUCUUCACUUGUAACUUUUCUUUUCGCUAUAUUUUAUAUUUACUGAAUCACAAACCAAUCAUGUUGUAUAUUUAAUAUUUAUGA